rnacentral:rRNA from 1 species
CCUACGGGUGGCUGCAGUGGGGAAUAUUGGACAAUGGGGGAAACCCUGAUCCAGCAAUGCCGCGUGUGUGAAGAAGGCCUGCGGGUUGUAAAGCACUUUCGGUUGGGAAGAAAAGUUUGGCGCCAAUACCGCCGAACCUUGACGUUACUGACAGAAGAAGCACCGGCUAACUCUGUGCCAGCAGCCGCGGUAAUACAGAGGGUGCAAGCGUUAAUCGGAAUCACUGGGCGUAAAGCGUGCGUAGGUUGUGAAAUCCCCGGGCUUAACCUGGGAACUGCAUUCGAUACUACAUGGCUAGAGUAUGGUAGAGGGAAGUGGAAUUUCCGGUGUAGCGGUGAAAUGCGUAGAUAUCAGAUAGAACACCAAUGGCGAAGGCAGUUACCUGGCUCAAUACUGACGCUAAAGCACGAAAGUGUGGGGAGCAAACAGGAUUAGAUACCCCAGUAGUC